rnacentral:rRNA from 1 species
ACGCACGCUGGCGGCGUGCUUCACACAUGCAAGUCGAACGGAAAGGCCCUGCUUUUGUGGGGUGCUCGAGUGGCGAACGGGUGAGUAACACGUGAGUAACCUGCCCUUGACUUUGGGAUAACUUCAGGAAACUGGGGCUAAUACCGGAUAGGAGCUCCUGCUGCAUGGUGGGGGUUGGAAAGUUUCGGCGGUUGGGGAUGGACUCGCGGCUUAUCAGCUUGUUGGUGGGGUAGUGGCUUACCAAGGCUUUGACGGGUAGCCGGCCUGAGAGGGUGACCGGCCACAUUGGGACUGAGAUACGGCCCAGACUCCUACGGGAGGCAGCAGUGGGGAAUAUUGCACAAUGGGCGGAAGCCUGAUGCAGCAACGCCGCGUGCGGGAUGACGGCCUUCGGGUUGUAAACCGCUUUCGCCUGUGACGAAGCGUGAGUGACGGUAAUGGGUAAAGAAGCGCCGGCUAACUACGUG